CCUACGGGUGGCAGCAGUGGGGAAUCUUCCACAAUGGGGGAAACCCUGAUGGAGCGACGCCGCGUGAGCGAUGAAGGAUUUCGGUAUGUAAAGCUCUAUCAGCAGGGAAGAAAAUGACGGUGCCUGAAUAAGAAGCCCCGGCUAACUACGUGCCAGCAGCCGCGGUUAUACGUAGGGGGCAAGCGUUAUCCGGAUUUACUGGGGGUAAAGGGAGCGUAGACGGCGUUGCCAGGCAGAAGUGAAAGCCCGGGGCUCAACCCCGGGACUGCAUUUGGAACUGUGCUGCUAGAGUGUCGGAGAGGCAGGCGGAAUUCCUAGUGUAGCGGUGAAAUGCGUAGAUAUUAGGAGGAACACCAGUGGCGAAGGCGGCCUGCUGGACGAUGACUGACGCUGAGGCUCGAAAGCGUGGGGAGCAAACAGGAUUAGAUACCCGAGUAGUC
rnacentral:rRNA from 1 species